UUGGAAAUCAGUUACACUUUAAAUAUCCAGCUAAGUUUAUUUUGCAAACCUAUCCACCUGUGCAGUUAUGUGACUGAGCUGCUGUGUGGUGAGCGCUGUUCCCUCUAAACUGCGCCCGUGCGCAAUUGCGCACUGCUGACACGGUCUCCGCGCACAGAAAAUCUGCGCUGCGCACAAAAAAAAAAAAAAUCCAACCUAAAUUGUAAAUAAAAUAAAGACGUAACAAUUCAUUCUGUGCUAUUUUUCAAUGUGAGUCAGUGAGUGACCGGUGACUGGCUGCUGCAGCCAAUGAUGCGAUUCACAUACGUAUUUACCAUAGACUGUAUAUAAUGGUAUUUACGCAGCUAAUCAACGUCAGACGUCCUUAUGUGCAGCUACCGUUGUUCUCAUAGAUAUGAAUGAGUAGAUAGGACACGCCCCUUUGAGAUGUGUGCUACAGCGAGGCUAAGCUAGUGGGGGCAAAGUUUCAGUGCAUUCCGUUGAUGUAGACGGCGUGAAAACGGAAACAAGAAGUAUGCCGUCUCACUGUGCUGCAUAUAAUUACACACUACGUCGUACGAUUGAGACAAGGAAACAUGGAAUGACUUUUCAUAGGUUUCCCAGAGACUAUGGGUUGAGGAGGAAGUGGAAGUUUGUCGGCUUAGACCUGGUGUCAUUCCAUCAGUGUUAAACUUCCCAGCUCAUCUUGGAAGAGUACGUGCCAGAAAGACCACGACCAAACAGCCUUGAGAUCUUAGACAGCGUCUCCCUGAGACCAAAGAACUACAGACUCUUCACAACCUGCUCAAACUCUUGGUACAGGACCUCACCACACGGGUCAAGAAGGUUUCUGUCUCAUUUCUACUCUGAAGAUCACCUUCUCCUGCUCAAACUGCUGACAAAUGUUUCUGCUGCUCUAAAGUCUGGUCUCCAGAACUUCCUAAAAACUCUCAAAGUCUCUUCUGCUGCAGGUUGCUUUGUAGAACCGUUGCAGAAAACCUCACUAAACCACAUGGAGGGGCCUCAAGAUAGUCGUCCAAAUGAAACCAUACAAAAACCAAACUAGCACAACCCAAACGCUCAAGUCUCCUGCAGCCUACCAGAGAACCUCUGAGAACAGAGAAUCAGGACAGGAACUCUUACCUUCUGGACAACCAACGCUGGUUCACAAACAAGAAUACAGAAUGUGUCUGACCAAAAACCUCUAAAGACUCACUACAGCCAAGAUAAAGACACAACUCAGCUGCACCAAAUCCACUAAUCACUGCACACAUUAGCACCAUGUGCUAACUGUGGCUAAAGAACCACAUUCACCAAGACAACUAUCCAGUACAAAGCCCUAAAACACACCAAGAAACACAUUAAAGACGAUUUUACUGCUGGAAGCUGCAAGCCAACGCCUAAAAAACAAACUAAAGCAAUGGAGCUAAACCCGAUUCAGUGGUGAAGAGAAGCAGAGGAAAUGUUUGUCUGCAGCUAAAUAAAGCAGGAAGACACUGAGCUGCUCAGGUGUUCCUGAUAACACCAAGCAGCCACCUGGACAGCCAAUAGGAACACAGCUUACUGGAAGUCCAGAGGGCUGGGUUAGUGAAGGAAAUUUAGUUUAAAGUUGAAGCAUAAAGUUAAUAAAGAAAGUUGAAAACCACCUUCUGAUCCCUGAAAUCUCUGAGUUUUCACACAAAGAACACCUGAA